rnacentral:rRNA from 1 species
GAUGAACGCUGGCGGCGUGCCUAAUACAUGCAAGUCGAGCGAACCACUUCGGUGGUGAGCGGCGAACGGGUGAGUAACACGUAGGUGAUCUGCCCAUCAGACGGGGACAACGACUGGAAACGAUCGCUAAUACCGGAUAGGACGAAAGUUUAAAGGUGCUUCUGGCACCGCUGCUGGAUGAGCCUGCGGCGCAUUAGCUAGUUGGUAGGGUAAAGGCCUACCAAGGCGACGAUGCGUAGCCGACCUGAGAGGGUGAACGGCCACACUGGGACUGAGACACGGCCCAGACUCCUACGGGAGGCAGCAGUAGGGAAUCUUCGGCAAUGGGCGAAAGCCUGACCGAGCAACGCCGCGUGAAUGAUGAAGGCCUUCGGGUUGUAAAAUUCUGUUAUAAGGGAAGAACGACUUUAGUAGGAAAUGGCUAGAGUGUGACGGUACCUUAUGAGAAAGCCACGGCUAACUACGUGCCAGCAGCCGCGGUAACAC